rnacentral:rRNA from 1 species
GAUGAACGCUGGCGGCGUGCCUAAUACAUGCAAGUCGAGCGAACAGACGAGGAGCUUGCUCCUCUGACGUUAGCGGCGGACGGGUGAGUAACACGUGGAUAACCUACCUAUAAGACUGGGAUAACUUCGGGAAACCGGAGCUAAUACCGGAUAAUAUAUUGAACCGCAUGGUUCAAUAGUGAAAGACGGUUUUGCUGUCACUUAUAGAUGGAUCCGCGCCGCAUUAGCUAGUUGGUAAGGUAACGGCUUACCAAGGCAACGAUGCGUAGCCGACCUGAGAGGGUGAUCGGCCCCACUGGAACUGAGACACGGUCCAGACUCCUACGGGAGGCAGCAGUAGGGAAUCUUCCGCAAUGGGCGAAAGCCUGACGGAGCCACGCCGCGUGAGUGAAGAAGGUCUUCGGAUCGUAAAACUCUGUUAUUAGGGAAGAACAAAUGUGUAAGUAACUAUGCACGUCUUGACGGUACCUAAUCAGAAAGCCACGGCUAACUACGUG